rnacentral:rRNA from 1 species
GAUGAACGCUGGCGGCGUGCCUAAUACAUGCAAGUCGAGCGAACGGACGAGAAGCUUGCUUCUCUGAUGUUAACGGCGGACGGGUGAGUAACACGUGGAUAACCUACCUAUAAGACUGGGAUAACUUCGGGAAACCGGAGCUAAUACCGGAUAAUAUUUUGAACCGCAUGGUUCAAAAGUGAAAGACGGUCUUGCUGUCACUUAUAGAUGGAUCCGCGCUGCAUUAGCUAGUUGGUAAGGUAACGGCUUACCAAGGCAACGAUGCAUAGCCGACCUGAGAGGGUGAUCGGCCACACUGGAACUGAGCCACGGUCCAGACUCCUACGGGAGGCAGCAGUAGGGAAUCUUCCGCAAUGGGCGAAAGCCUGACGGAGCAACGCAGCGUGAGUGAUGAAGGUCUUCGGAUCGUAAAACUCUGUUAUUAUGGAAGAACAUAUGUGUAAGUAACUGUGCACAUCUUGACGGUACCUAAACAGAAAGCCACGGCUAACUACGUG